GUCUGGUGUGCGAUCGUGAGAAGACCAGGAGGGACUCCUUCCCUCUCAAAACCCUAAAUCUUUAAAACUCCAUCAAUUGAAAGCCAAAUUAGUGAAGAAUCGAAUGCAUGAGCUAAGAAUUCUGAUUAUCUAAGUAUUCUUGAUCUCAAGAAUCAUGUCAAAAUGGUUGAGAGCAUGGAAGGCUAACGGGCUAAGAAGACUCAAGUAAAACAAACGCAAAUACGGACGCACAAGAAUGAAAUAGGGAAUGCAGGUAUACUCGUGAUGGAAGUUGAAGGUUGUACAGAACUGUGGAUUCUCACCAUGGAGUGUAAAAGGUUGAAGAUCGAGUCAAGAGAUGGAUUGUACAUGUGGGCGCAUGGUCACGUAAUUUAAUAGUAGUAUGUCCGAUUUUUAUAAAUUUAUAGAAAGCAUUAAUGUAUUUAAGGUAAAAGAGUGAAUUAAUGUAUUUCUAAGUAUGUUAGAAUGAAUAUGAUGAAAGAAAAUUUUUAAGUUCGUAUU